GGACCGGGAUAACCCUGGGAAACUGGGGCUAAUACUGGAUAGAUGAUUUUUCCUGGAAUGGUUUUUUGUUUAAAUGUUUUUUCGCCUAAGGAUGGGUCUGCGGCAGAUUAGGUAGUUGGUUAGGUAAUGGCUUACCAAGCCUAUGAUCUGUACGGGUUGUGAGAGCAAGAGCCCGGAGAUGGAACCUGAGACAAGGUCCCAGGCCCUACGGGGCGCAGCAGGCGCGAAACCUCCGCAAUGUGAGAAAUCGCGACGGGGGGAUCCCAAGUGCCAUUCUUAACGGGAUGGCUUUUCUUAAGUGUAAAAAGCUUUUGGAAUAAGAGCUGGGCAAGACCGGUGCCAGCCGCCGCGGUAACACCGGCAGCUCUAGUGGUAGCUGUUUUUAUUGGGCCUAAAGCGUUCGUAGCCGGUUUGAUAAGUCACUGGUGAAAUCCUGUAGCUUAACUGUGGGAAUUGCUGGUGAUACUGUUGAACUUGAGGUCGUGAGAGGUUAGCGGUACUCCCAGGGUAGAGGUGAAAUUCUGUAAUCCUGGGAGGA
rnacentral:rRNA from 1 species